GACGAACGCUGGCGGCGUGCCUAAUACAUGCGAGUAGAACGCUGAAGGAGGAGCUUGCUUCUCUGGAUGAGUUGCGAACGGGUGAGUAACGCGUAGGUAACCUGCCUGGUAGCGGGGGAUAACUAUUGGAAACGAUAGCUAAUACCGCAUAAGAGUAGAUGUCGCAUGACAUUUGCUUAAAAGGUGCAAUUGCAUCACUACCAGAUGGACCUGCGUUGUAUUAGCUAGUUGGUGAGGUAACGGCUCACCAAGGCAACGAUACAUAGCCGACCUGAGAGGGUGAUCGGCCACACUGGGACUGAGACACGGCCCAGACUCCUACGGGAGGCAGCAGUAGGGAAUCUUCGGCAAUGGACGGAAGUCUGACCGAGCAACGCCGCGUGAGUGAAGAAGGUUUUCGGAUCGUAAAGCUCUGUUGUAAGAGAAGAACGAGUGUGAGAGUGGAAAGUUCACACUGUGACGGUAUCUUACCAGAAAGGGACGGCUAACUACGUG
rnacentral:rRNA from 1 species